AACCCAGUUAGAUCACUGGUUCUGGUUCAGCCUCCAGCAAACCUGUCAGGGUGGGAAGACAGCAGGGUGUACUUACUUUCUUCAUUUUCUCUAUCUUCUCUAAAUAAUGCCAGUCUGGAUCAGCUGGGUGUACGGGGUGUACAUACAUUUCACCUGGGGUGGGUCGGUCGGUCAGUCGGUCAGUUGGUCGGUCAGUCGGUAGAUCAGUCACUUGGUCAGUCGGUCGGUCAGUUGGUCUGGCGGUUGGUCUUUCAGUCGGUCGGUCAGUCAGUUGGUCGGUCAGUCGGUUGGUUGGUUGGUCUGGCGGUAGGUCAGUAGGUCAGUCACUUGGUCAGUCGGUCGGUCUUUCGGUCGGUUGGUUGGUCUGGCGAUCAGUCAGUCGGUAGGUCAGUCACUUGGUCGGUCAGUCGGUCGGUCUUUCGGUCAGUUGGUUGGUUGGUCUGGCGGUCGGUCAGUCACUUGGUCAGUCGGUCAGUAAGUUGGUCAGUUGGUCGGUCAGUCGGUUGGUUGGUCUGGCGGUCAGUCAGUCGGUAGGUCAGUCAGUCGGUCGGCCAGUCACUUGGUCGGUCGGUUGGUCUUUCAGUCGGUCAUUCUGGCGGUCAAUCAGUUGAUUGGUUGUCCAGCUCAACGUGUCUUUGAGUUAAAAGAUGUUUAAAGUUUAAAAUACGGCUAAAAGACAUUAUUAACAAAACCUAAACAGAAAAUUUAAAGUUUCUUAAGAAAGGGAAAAAAAUACAGUUAAAAUAAAUAUUUAUUCUCUUCAGUUGUUUCAUCCUAAUUAAAGUGUCCAAAUAUUUUGAUCCAUUAUUGACUUUAUUAGCUGAAGUUGUUAACAUGUUGUUAGCAUGAUCAGGAAGUGGAUAGAGUUCAGGUGAAUGACCUCUGACCCCAGGCUGUGUUCACAUACUGACAUUUUCCUGUUGCUGUUUCUGGAUAAAAUCUGAACGAAUCUCAGCCUGGAGGAGCAACUGGAGGCUGGCAGCCCGCCAGGCUGAUGAAGGCCUGGAGAACCUCCCAGCUGCUGUUUCUCAACCUCUGGGCCGGUUUCCAGAGGGAAGACAGACGUCCUCACAGCAGGACGGUCGUCCGGGCGUCCUGGACUUACGCAAGACAAGUGAUGGACAGACGGAGACCUCCUGACCCCUGAGUGACCUCUAACCCGGCCCUGAUGUUCUGCAGCGGGUCGGUGCGAUGUAUCCAAAGACCAGAAACAGCUCAGAAAGACUUUAAGUGUCCAACUCGUCACUGUGAACCACAGCAUCAACUCAGGACUUUGACUAGGCCGUUGUGCUCUGCAGUCGUUUAUUAGUGAAAAACAUUUCAGCAACAAGACAGUUCAACGUUCCACAGAAACAUCAUUAAGUCGCCAAUUAUGAAACAAUAAACGUCACGUUUUGUCUCAUCAAAUACAAAAAGAGGAGACAAAACUGGUUCUGGAACCAGAACCAGAACCUGAGAGGUCUGAAGGUUGAUCCAGCAGAUCUUUAAUGAAAACAUGAUGAGUUUCUCUGAUCUGAGACUUUAGUCUCUGGUCCUGGAAAUGUUCUGCAGCUGCUAGAAGGCCCACUGUGGAACCCAAGGCUCAGGUCAGAGGUCAGAGGUCAGCCUCUGGUUUACAGCUGGAACAACUGAAGCUGACUCUAGAUCUAUAGCUCUAGAUUGUUCCU